rnacentral:rRNA from 1 species
GCUUGUCUCAAAGAUUAAGCCAUGCAUGUCUUAGUGUAAAUAACUCUUAUGAAACUGCGAAUGGCUCAUUAAAUCAGUUAUCGUUUAUUUGAUGGUCCCUUACUACAUGGAUAACCGUAGUAAUUCUAGAGCUAAUACAUGCACAAAGGCCCGACUCACGGAGGGCUGUAUUUAUUAGAUUCAAACCAACACUUUUUGGUGAUUCAUAAUAACUUGUCGAACCUCAUGCCUUUAUGGUGGAGGUGAUUCAUUCAAAUUUCUGCCCUAUCAAUUGGCGAUGGUAGGAUAGAGGCCUACCAUGGUGUUAACGGGUGACGGGGGAUUAGGGUUCGAUUCCGGAGAGGCAGCCUGAGAAACGGCUACCACAUCCAAGGAAGGCAGCAGG